AGACCCUGUCUCAACAAAAAAUACAAAAGACAGGGAUUGGGGGAAGAAAAAAAAUACAAAGGCAAUUCUGCGUACUCUCUGUCCCAUGCCCCCUGAUGGAGCAUCUUGCCUAAUGACAGUGCCAGUCACAGCGGGGUGGGGGUGGGGGGUGCGACACUGAGGCCAGCAUUGCUGUCACCACGGGGACCCCUAUGUCCCCUCUUAUAGCCAUACCCACUUUCCUCUUGCCCGCUUCCCUCCCUUUGACCCCUGGCAACCGUGUCCUUUGUUUCUGUGAUUUAGUCAUUUCACGGAUGUUAUAUAAGUGGAAUUGUAUUGUACACCAUCUUCCCAGAUGGACUUUUAUCACUCAGCAAAAUUCUCCGGAGAUGCACCCAGGCUGUUGCAGGAACCAUUAUUACACUUGCUCGGCCCCAGGAGACACACUGGAAGAGGACAGAAAACCUUCAGCUGUGACGAAGGAAUCACCACCGUGGGGCGGAGGCAGCCCAGGUGCCUUUCCCACCUGCGGCAUUCGGGGAGGUAGGCACUGCUACGAAGACCAGAGUCUGCUCGUGAGGGUCCAUAAAACAUGACCCCAACUCAGCAGGCCCACAGAGGGGUGGAAGAACUCUCCCAGGGUCACACAGCCAGUGCUGGAACAAGGACACGGUGGGAGAACUGAGUGUGAACACACGUCCACCUGAUGUAAAUGCCCGGUCCCUCCAGCCUCCACAGCUGACAUCCAAGUGGGACAGUUCCAAGAAUCUUGGAGAAGGGACCCAAGGGCACAGUGUGAUUGACUCAGGGACAGGCCUCACCUGUCGGUGAGUGGGGUGAUGACCAGCCGCGGCGUGUUGCCCAGAUACUCGUAGGAAUACUGGAUUUGGGCAUCGCAGAUGUUGGCAAAACAGUGUCGCUUCUCUUCAUCCCAGCGAUGCCGGAGCUGGGCCUGCCAGGUGAAGGCCUGAGAACUCUCCACCUGCAGGAUGAGCCGGAGCUCUUGUUGCCAAGCGGAAUGCAAGAGCUGGGGCUGGGUGAGGAAGGCCAGCAUGCCUCCAAGACUGGCCCCCGGGUGCCCGGGGAACCCUCCCUGGCCCUCUUUCCCCCUCCAGCGCCCACGUCCAACUGUGUGGCCACCCUCAGUGGAAUCUCGCUACGGAAUGGCACUUCCAAUGGGCGGGCACCGCUCCUCUGACCACUAUGUGUGGCUCACCAGGGGUGAGUCCGGGCAAGGGGGGUAGGAGGCAGCCGCAGCCAGCAACAGAGUCAGUGCCCCAGCAAGAGGAAGUCGCAGGGUCUGGAGUCCCUGAAUGCACUGCCCUGAACCCAGUGUCCCCUUUCCCUUCCCCAGGUCCCUGGGACGGGGCACUCGUGCCUUGGCCACGAUCAUUUUGGCCACCACGUCCCGCGCGUGCACAUCGAUGGUGCAGAUGGUCAUGAUCUUCAUCCUGUCGCCAGCGUUGAGGUUCCCAAUGAGCAGCGUGAUGAGUGCAUUCAGCUGGCUAAUCUGCGGGGGACAGGUGCUUUCACUGAGAUGCCACGGAUGCCUAUGUGCACUGGGGGGUCUUGUGGCUGGGUGCCCGCAGCUGCAUAGGGAACACUGCCAUGGUCUUGUUUACAGUAAGGAAAAACAGGAGCGCCCUCGGUAGGCCCCAGCCAGGCACUGGUUUCACUGUGAUGUGGCCCUGAUGGGACACCUUGGAGCCGCUAGCACGGACGUAGUAGAAGGAAAUUCAAGGCCAUGAAAGAGAGUGGAUAACAAGCAAAAACAGCUGACUUUAACACCAUCCAGCGAGUCUGUAUAUUUUUUCAUAUAAAUCAAUUAUACACACAUAGUGUAGCAGGUUG